UUCUUGAAAAGGUGUUCAGAUUGUGUACUAAUCAUUGUAUUCACUAGAGCAAUAAAAUUAUACUUUUUCCAAAAACUAUACAUUGCAGCUUCCAGAAGAUGACAUAUUGCUCAACACAAAAUUCCAUAAUAAUACACAUUACGUGCCUUCAGUGACCUACAUGAUUCUGACUCCUACUGCUAGUGGCUGUAAAUAUUGAAAGAUAAUUUUCCUCAACUGAUCAAUGAAUUAAAGGUUUUAGUCUCAUGAUUUAGACACUUAUGAUGUAUUCAUAAUAUACAAAAAAAGUAAUAUACCAAAAACAAAUGCAUUUGUUUGUGAUGUUAGACCAUACAUGUAAUAGAUAUAAGAGAAAUAGCAUUUAUUUUUUAUGUGUUGCAAGUUUGGAGAGAUGUUCUUUGAUACUGAGUUUCUGUGGGUAAGUUUUAUGGGGCAGACAAAAGACAUGGAUCUCUGACCCCAAAAUAACAUGCAAUUCACAGCCUCUCUUGUGUUCACAGUUGAGAAGAGACUGCCCAUUACAUGUAAGUAUAGGCUGGCAGUAACUUGGAUACUGAAAAUUUUGGUAGGUAAAAAGUGAUGUACAGUAACAAUGAGAGAAUUCUGUCUUCUCGUUUACUCUGCAGGUUAAAUGUAUGUUUGCCACCAAUACUGUGUGAUAGUGGUUGCAAAGAUACUUAGAAGUAUCACCAGAGAAGCCAGUUUGUUUCUGAGGAUCAGAAGAAAAAAAUUCUUCGGUUGUGGGACUCCUGGUACUCAUAAGAGAACUUGCUGCUUUUGGGGAUGAUGUGAGUGAGGAGAGGUGUUGGGAAGACAGACUCAUCUUCUCUGCAAAUACCACUGGGAAGGCAAAAGGCAUUGAAAGAAAGGGAUUAAAAUAAUGUGAGCUAUUAUGGCCUAAAUGGGUUCCUCACUGGAUAUCACUGACCUCUUUCUAUUUCACUGAACUGCUUUACUGUAAAGAAGAAGGUAGUAUUUGCAGAGAGAUUUCCUGUAGCUCUUUAAAAAUUUUAUGACUGCCCAUGCAGUCCUUGUUAUGCAUUCCUAUGACUAAUGAAUCAGCUGUAGGGACGUUCUUGGUGUUUCAUAUCCUGACCUUUCGACUGUUAGAAUUGUGUAAGAAUAAAGAAAAAUUGUAGUAACAUAGCCGAUAAGCAUGUUUCGCCUAA